GACCAGCGGAGGGAUCAUUA
rnacentral:rRNA from 13 species